UUGAGUCACUGUCCCAUGAGGCCUUGUGGCUGAACUGAUUAUGUGUCUCUUCAAGACUGCUUGACUUGUCUGUGACAAUGCCUUUGCUUUUGCAUUGGGUACGCGGAGAAGUACGUAUGGAAGCCAUUACUAAUGUACGGUUACAAAAGAUUACCAUCACAAAUUCGGUUGUUAUAUACAAACGCAUAAGCCAUUGCACAUUAAUAACAACAAACAGAGAGAUAGGAUGCUAAAUUAGACAGCAUAUCACCAUUGCACAUUAAUAACAUACAUACACAGGUUCCAUGGAACUCAGUUGUGGACAUAGUUAUGAUAGUCAUUAAUAAGUCUACCGUUUCGUAGUGGAGGAAGGCAAAGGCAACUUAAAGUCAUACUAAAACAUACUACCAACAUAUUACCAACAUACUAACAACCUCAUAACGUGUUUGUACAUACUGACAACAUCCUAACGUUGCUUACAUACGGAACAACAAAAUGACAGCGACAAUGCAUAGCACAUAGACAAUGGUCUUAAGGACACGCAAGGAUUGUUGAAUGUCUAUGACAUCAGCUCGCAAUUGCAUGACAAUUUCGUCUCUAGGUGACGCAUAGUCUUGGUUCUCUCGCCUUGGUUCUUCGCACCAACCAAUCCAAUUGGCACAGGGGUGAUGAGUGCAAAUGAUGGAACUAUUAGUCAAUGGGUUGUUAAUGUUCAUGUAGUUAUGACCGGUAAAUAAUGGUCACUCACCACAGGGCGGGGACAUGCAAAGUAGGGACGCCCUGGAUUUUUGGUGGACCUGGAAAUCUUAACAAUACAGGGGCCAUGUCCACAGGCACACAUUCGUCGUGGCCAUGUACUGGAAGUUGCAGUAGAGGUAAACGAAGCCAUGCUAUGCUUUACAAACAUACGGAAGUGAUAAUGAAUCAUAUAAGUAAUUAAUUUAUGUUAUCCAUAUAUCAGGUUAAACAUGAACUGAUAGUUCAUACGCUGAUGCACAAGUUAAACACAUAUGUAUGAAGCAUAGGGGAAAAUCCAACGGUUUGGAUUUCGUGCCAUAGUGAAGCAUAAAAUCCGCAUAACAUAUGGAGCUCUACAAGGAGAAUGAAGCAUGAACCAAAGUAAUUAAAUAUGGUGUUUUGUUAUGAAUAGGACAGGGAUGGUUUGUAUCAGAACUAAAUGGUUUCACCGUGGAGGUGAUCUAGAAAAAGAAGACCAAGGCCAGGAUUGGUCAAAACAUAUAAGUAAAAAAAAAAAAAAAAAUUAAGAUGGAUACAAACAUGAAGAGAACACGAACCCAUAAAUGUAAUGCAAUGUGAUAUACAUGUAUGUACAACCAAAUGGUUCGAUCAUAAUACACUUGUCAGUUGUCGCUGACGGAGUAGUUGUGUUUGAAGAAGUGAAGUUGUGUUUGACGGAGUAGUGGUGUUUAACAAAUCAAUUAAAAACGUUUAUGUUAUCCAUAAUAGUUGUGAAUACGCUGAUGCACAAAAACAACAGAGGGAACGCUUUCAGAUUUAUGAAUACAAUAGCAGAGGGUUUUAUUCAGAUUUACCAAUGCUAGCAAUACAUAAAUUUACAUUUAUUUCUUCAUUCACUAAUGUACGUUACCAAUGUUACAAAACAGAAAUUUGUAGCAGAGACACAGAUUUCAUUCACAGAACCCAUUCAGAGACUCACAGAUGUGAUUCAGAUAUUUCAUACACAGGACCCAUUCAGAUACUCACAGACUCACAGAUUUGAUUCACAUACUCACAUAUGUGAUUCACAGAUUUCAUUCCCAGGACCCAUAAACAUUUCAGAUCUCAUCUUUCAUUCACAGAAUCAGAUUUCAUUCAGCAUUGACAAAUCAAUGCGUGUAACAGAUCUGAAAUGUUUUAUGAGGUAAUGAAAUAUAAGAAAUGCAAGCUACUAGUGUUUAAGAGAAUGAGAAUUAUAAGAAAUCAACUUCAACUUCUGAUAUGAAAAUGUUCACAGAAUCAGAUUUCAUUCACAGAUUGAACUUUCCAUUUGUUUAACAGACAUGAUGGAGAGAUGUGAUUUCAUGAACUUUCCAUUUGAUUCACAAACUCACAGAUGUGAUUCACAGAAUCAGAUUUCAUGAACUUUCCAUUUGAUUCACAAACUCACAAAUGCGAUUCACAGAUUUCAUUGACAGGACCCAUAAACAUUUCAGAUUUCAUCUUUCAUUACAGAAUCAGAUUUCAUUUAGCAUUGACAAAUCAAUUUGAAUAACAGAUCUGAAAUGUUUUAUUAGGUAAUGAAAUAAAAGAAAUGCAAGCUACCAGUGUUUAAGAGAAUGAGAAUUAUAAGAAAUCAACUUCAACUUCUGAUAUGAAAAUGUUCACAGAAUCAGAUUUCAUUCACAGAUUGAACAAAAUGCUAAUUCUGUUGUUUAUAUAGAUACAUGGAGACAGGGUGUUUGUAAAUUCAGAAUGUUUGACAUGGAGCCAUUGGCAGAGUUAUGAACACAGAAAGUUCGUUUUCAGAGAACUUGCAAAAAAAUUGGUAUACAAAUUCCAGAAAUGACAGGGAAAAAUUGGGAAAACAUAUGAACUGCAUGUUUCAUAUUUGAGAAAAAUCUAAUUUCAGCAAUGAGAUUUCAGGUGAGGCACAACAGUGAGUUUUAUGAAGAAAAUAAUUUUGAUUUUAGAUUGGGUGACAAAUCAGGAUGUAGAAAUUGCAGAUCUCACAAAAAAAUAGGUAGGAAAAAAAACAGAAAAUGGGUGUUCAACUUUGAAAUCAUAGGGUUUACGAUUCAGAUAUCGUAAUGUGAAGAAAAUGUGUUUUCAACCACUAAUCAGCCGUAUUUUUUAUUUUCCAUGACAGAUUCAAAAUCGGAGUGAGGUUUUGCAUCUAUAUCCACACAGAUAUAACGGUGGGUUUCCCAUUCUACAAACCGAAAUGAAAAAAAUGUAACCCAAAGUGGAGGAAAAAUUUUUAAGCAGCAACAACAAUGGGUUCUAAAGAUCAAAUCACAGAUCGGGUUGAAGGAAAGGGUAUUACGCAAACAAACCCCCCC